UUGGGAGACAGUUUCCAGGCUAAAGGACUGUUGGGGGAGUGAGAAGGCUGCUGGAGAGGGAUGGGUCCAGGGGACAGCUUCGGUCUCAGAGGAUGGGAGGAAAGGUGGCACUGUGAGCCACAAGAGGGGAGCUGGGAGGGCUGACUGGUUUGAGAUGGGGAAAACAGGAGAUUGAGGGAGCAAGUCAAGUGGCUGCAGAGGCUACCAAACCGGUGUAAAGUCCCCGAAGCCCUGGGAAGAGCAGGUUUUAAGAAGAACAGCGUCGUCGUGAUUUCAAGCAGCCGCUAGAUGCCAGAUAUUGGCUGGCUGUGGGCCUCUGAGGAGCACAGAGCCGGGCCUGGUAGAAGUCUGGGUGGGCAGCUUUGGUGGCCACAGAUGCACAGGUGAUGUGUCUCGGAGCUGACUUGCUGACUCCACCGAUCGGCUGUUGGUGUGGAAGGCCACGUUCACAGGAGACAAGGAACCCACAGAGAAAAGGAGCACGCUGAGUCAAGAGGACAAAGGGCCGGCACCCUCCACGAACAGGGACUUCGAGAAGACAGCUAUGCCUUUAGCAAGGCCUCCAGUCCCUCCGUCUGGGUCCUUGCAUGUGAGGAAGAGAAUGCUGGGAAAGUGCCCUGGUCUUGUCUGCAGGCCCCAUGGACCAUCCUUUCCUAAACCUCACCCAUUUAAACAAGGAAUUCUAACUCCUGCCUCCUCCAGCAGCAAAGCUCACCUCCUACUUCUUGUUCACUGGCUUCUGUGACCUUCAGGGCCCACUAAGACAGGUGGAAACAACCCAAGUGGCUGUUGACGGAUGAGCAGAAAAAAAGAUGGUAUAGACACACAAUGGAGUAUUACUCAGCCUUAAAAAGGAAGGAAAUUCCAACACAUGCUACAACAUGGAUGAACCUGGAGGACAUUAUGCUAAGUGAGUGGUCUUGCCUUGGCUUUUCCUCUCUUCUCCCUCAGCUCCAGACUGCACACUGGACAUCAGUGACACUUGGUUUUAUGAGAGUCAGCAAGCACAAAUUAUUUUGCCAAAUUUGGGUCUCCUGCCUCCCUUCCCUUUCCCAUGCCAUCUCUCCCUUUUAUUGCCAGGAGUGUGAGUUUAUGGAUAUCCCAGGAUCUUUCUUCCAUACCAGCAAACAAGGCUGUGUAAUUCUCCUGGGAUAGUUGUGGAUCAGGAUAUCUGGUAGUUUUCUUUUUAUCCUGAUUUUUUAAAAAGUUAUGAGACACAAGCAAAUCCCAACAAAAGGGCAGCCUUAUAUCAGAGACAACUUGGAUAGAUGGUAUCUGACUGUGGAGUGUCUUUUCUCUGGGGGGGAAAAAUGCUCUGGUUCCAUCAAAAUAUUCUUUCUCAUGCCCAGAAAGCCUGCCUUUGAGAAAGUACUAAGAAAUAUGUGCAGGUUUACAAGUAUGACUUCACCAUCCACCUGCAUAUACUUAGUACAUUAGAAUUUAGUUCAUCUGAGUCUUGACUGGGAAAAAAGGCAGACACCCCCUAAGUUGCCUAAAAGGAGGGUAACCUGAAGGGACCCUAGUCCUCACUCAGAGCAAAGCAUCACUUUGCUUUUUGCUUUUUUUUUGGAGAGAUCCUCCCACUGGGUCUGACCUCCCUCCCUCCCUGGAUCCUCCCCUACCCCCAUGCUCUCCAUCCCCAUGCUCUCGGCUCACUUCUCUCCCCACCAGUACUUUGUGCUCGUCCAUCAGUGAGUGGGCCAUUCUCUUCCCAUUCAAGGAAAAGAGUUCAAGAGACCUGGGCUUUGUGAAAUCUCAAAGAAAUCCUGAGGCAUCACUAAAAUUAGAAAUUACAAUGUUGUGCUUAGCAGUGGGACAGAGCUAUCUGACAGCACAAGGCUUUCAGAGCGGCAGAGGGACCAAUUCAUGUUUCCAGCUGAUAAAAAUGGAGCAAAUGAACAACCCAGGGGGGUGGUACUGUGGGAUGGUGGUGUCUCAGGAAACUUGGUGGGGGUGUUGGCUCAGCAGUUAUACUGUGGAUUAAAGGAUGAAGACAGAUAAGAAUAUGGAAUUAUGUCAGCUACACAGAGAGAAGCCACUAGUGAUUUUGACACACAGAGACAGAGACAGAGAAAGAUAUUUUUUGCUUCUCUUUAAGCAUUUAAGCAAGCUAUCGUCAUCCCCAUUUUCCAGAUCAGAGGUAGAAUAGAAGCCAGUCUUUGGCUGCCUUCCUAUCAGAGAAGGAGCCAUCAGGCAUAACUCUCCCUUUCCUACGCAGCAAAAUCGACACCCACAAAAACAGCAUUCUUACAAGUAUAUGCAGACUCCUCACCCCCACCCCCAUAGGCAAGAGAAGGGACUAAGAACAAAAUCCAGAGUGUCAAUUACUAGCUAUGGAAUCUUGCCAUCUUGAAAAAAAAAAAACAAAAAACUGGAGAAAAUCCUUUAAAGCACCAUACAGUGAAAUACAUAUCUGAUGCUUAGGCAAGGUGCCACUUAAAAAAUGACUUUUCUGCCCUUAGAAUCGGUUAUUUCCAACCAACUCUUUAUCCAUGAGGGGAACUCAAUGCCAUGUGGGGUUCUGGGCAGUAAGUCACGGAGAGGGGAUUACCGGUGUCUGGAAAGGGAUUUAACACGAGGAAUGGCAACUCGAGUCAAGCUGAAGGCCAGUCAUUAUCAUAGCAGGCAGUGUGUGUGGGGUAUGGGUUGAGUUUCACUGUGAGGGACACAUACAUUGAAUGGCUAGGGUGCAGAGUCCCAGAAAAAUACCAAGAAAUAAUUGGUAGUUUUCCAGGUAUCAGGAUUAGUCAUAUAUCUAGUUGAGCCAUAUGGAAUUUGGACUUUUUGUAAAUCAAAAAUGGUCAAAUAGCAACAAUUUCACAUGGUUCAAUCAUUUGAAUAUUACUCAAAAGACACGCAAGGAUGUUCUAUUUCACAUGAAGAUUUCAAAGAAUUUCUGUUGCCAAGAUCUAUUUUAAAGGGGGGGGGGGUGGGCAGUGAAGUGCAGACUACAGUUAAAAAUCAGGACUGGAAGAUACCACAAGCUGGAAUUCUCCCUGGGUUUUCCAUCUUCAGGAUGGCACAUAAAUCCAUGCUCCCCACGCAUGCUCUUUAGAACCCUGACUUCAAGGGACACUAAUGUUACUGAGAACAAAUCAUGUGAGAUCUUGGAGCCAAAUAAUGUGAAACAGGCCUCUUCACUGCAGGAUUUCUCAGAAACCAUAAGAUACAAAUGUCUAUGACCAAUUCCCAAAGGGGAGAUAAGUGUGUACAUGGCAUUUCCCAAAGGUACUUGACCCACACUUAAUUCUCACCAUACUCUCCACACUUUGACGUGCACAUAUCAUUUGGGGAUUUUGUUAAAAUGUAGUUUCUGAUUCAGUGGGCCGGGGACUCUGCAUUGCUCACAAGCACCCAGGGGAUGGUGAUGCUGAUGCCGCUGGUCCACGGACCCCACUUGGUGAGUAGGGCUCGGAGGGCUUUACCAUCUCCCAAGGGACCAUUCCCUGGCGUCUGGGUGGGCCUGGCUCUGAACAUGGGAGAAAGGCAGAAGAGUGUGCAGGGAAAAGGCAGCGCCUUGGCCUCACCUCCAUAAACUCGGUGCUGGAGCCCACGUGCUGCCUGAAGCACAGAAGGAAGUUCUCCUCCGUCGGCAGGAUCUGCGCCAGCUGUGGGGGCCAGAGAGCAACAGAGACAUUACGGAGGGCCCUGCCAGGAGAGUGGGCGAGUAGCCUUUCCUGGGUGGAGGAUGGUGAAAUGGCCAGUGGCAAGGCAGCGUGGGAGCUGCAAUUUGCUUUCUUUGAGAUUCGUCCUUCAAAAGGGAAGAAGGAUGUUCUGAGAAGUGCAUCUGGGUCACCCCAGAUCUUAAGAGUAUGAGCAGCUGGAGGGACAGGAAACUGGUGCCACUUUAAAAGGCAAGUAUCCAGUCUCAAAAGAAUACUUAGUAGAGCAUUCAUUCCAUCUAUAUAAAAUUCUAAAAAAUGCAACCUAAUCCUAGCUUAGCGGUUGCCUAGGAUAGGAUGGCCCGCACCAGGUGGAGGAACAUUUUGACAGUGAUAGAAAUGCUGUAUCUUGAUCGUGGGUGGCAAUUACAUGGUUGUACACAACUGCCUCAACUCACGGAACGGUACACUUCAAAUCGAUGCAGUUUAUUGUAUGUAAAUUUUUACCUCAGCAAAUCUGAUUUUUAGAAAAUGCAGAUACCUUUGUUCAGCACACACUGCUGGCCAUCCCCCAGUCCCCCACUUACUUCGCUCUGGGCUUCCCCUGGUCACGGGCACAUUCUGAUUGGGCUGAGUCAGCUAAAUGUGCUCUUGUUUCUGUUGUCAGUGAUUGGCUUAUGGGUAGGCAUGUGAUCUCGCUCUGCCCAGUGAAGUGUGAGGGGAGGUGUGCUAAGGGUACUUCUGGGAAAGGUUUCCUUGUACCUGUGAGGGGCCAAAUAAGGUGGAUCCUUUGUGGUUGUGUGUGGAUGUGCUGCCUGGAACUGCUGCAGCCAUCCUGUUUACCAGCCUGAGGAUGAAGCUGUUUUGGGGGCAGAGAACAGAACCAAGAGAGGCAAUGGGGAAUCUGGGUGGCGCAAUUGGUUAAGCAUCCAACGCGAUCUCGUCUCAGGUCACGAUCUCACAGUUCGUGAGUUCAAGCCCUGCAUCGGGCUCUGUGCUGAUGGUGUGGAGCCUG